GCUUCGGUGAGCUGAGGCACAGAGCCAGAGACCCACUGGGCUUCGAUGAUUGAGCUAGAGAACGUUUAUUUUCCAGGAUGACUGAUCUGUCAUUUCCCUUCAUAGACCCAGACUGGCAAAUUUCCAUUUUCUGUGUUGAGAAUAAGAAAUAAAGGUGACUCGGGUCUUCCUCUGAUGCCUCCUCCUUAUGGGGGCACUUUUCCCGGAUUCAGCGCCAGGCCAAGCAGCAGCGAGCGAGGAAGGCUGAGCCGUGACUUCCCAAGCUCGCUCUGCACCCAGCUGCAGUCACUGUUGCAGCCUGGGCUCCCUGUAGGGUUCGCCACCCGGCGGAUCCCUUUUUCGAGGCAAAGUACAAGAGAAAACUGAUUUCCUGAGCUCUUUGCUCCUCUAGGCACCUGGAAGAAGCUGUGGACCCGGUUAUCAUGGGUCGUCGAGGGCAAAGAAGGACCGCCCCAGGCCAAGCUGCAAACCGGCGGGGAGAAGAGUAGGGGCCCUCAAACCCCUUUGCAUGAGCAUUAGAAAACUAGCAGGGUAUCUCUUCUUCUGAGCCAGGGACAAUGAACGCAGGCUAAAGGGAAUUCAAGUGGAAAAAUACGUGAAUGCCCGGGACUACUACAGCUGGCGCACAGAGGUUUCCUCAGGGCUGUGUAGCACCGUGUCUUGCCAGAAAGGACAUCGACCUGCUCUUUCUUCAAGAAAUGUUUGAACGAACGUUCUUUGCAGAUGGGUUCACAACCCUUCUCCAGUGGACCUCACAUAUAUCUCUCUCUGCUCUUGCCUACAUUCACGAUGCGUGAUCCCACUUCAAACAUUUUGCAGGACUUGAUAGGUUUUCAAAUCCUCACUUUUGUUUUUCCUUCCUAAAAGUACUUUUGAAAGAAAAAAAUACCAUCUAAAACUGGGCUUGCGUUCAUAGUUGAAGUUAUAUAGGGUAGAGAGAAUUUCUGGGCAAAAGUGCACAGAAGCACUUUUCUCUCCUUUUCAGUUACUUCUUAAAGAUUUUUAGCGCUCAGUUUUGUGACUCAAAGGUCAGUGUGAUUAGACAAAAUAUGAGCAACGCCAUAACUUGGUUUGCUAUUGUCCUACCUGUGGGCAUUUUGGGUAGGAAGGAGGAAAUGGAGCCUUAGAUAAGGAGCAGAAAGUGUCACCCUUGGCAGAAAGACCCAGGCUGCCAUAGUUAGAUGUCACAUGCAAUGCCCCUACAUCAACUGCUUUCCCCCUUGCCGUGAGUCCUGCCAACUAGAGAUUUCCUUUGGACAAACGGUGUUUUAAAGAAUUCCCGUAGAGUUAAGGAGUCAGCAGUCACCAGCUAGGACAUGGAACAACCCGAGUCAAUUAGACUGGCAUGCUAUUAAGAAAAAUGGAUAUUUCACUGCAGAAAAGAGGGUGUUUGGAACAGGUCAGCAGUACAGUAUGCCACCAGAAUGCAGAAGGCCAAGAGUUCCACUCUACACACACGCAUGCACGUGUGCACGCACACACUGGUUUUCACACAAAGAGCAGCGUUGUGUUGAGGAGAAAGUGCCACUGGGUAGUUAAGGGUUACAUGCCUGGAUACUUAGGGAUGUAAGGCAAGGGGCACUGAUAAUGGAGAAAGGCAGGAAGAUGUCUGUGGAUAAACUGAUUUCCAAACCAGUGAGUCCUUAUUCUCUCAUGGAGGACAAGGGAGGAAACUGUCUUCUUUUGUUUAUCUUGCCAUCUUGCAUUUAGGACCUAAACAUCGAACCCAACUAUUGAUAUGUAAUAAUUGUGGAUAAAUCAGAUUUUGUCUUUGAGUGCCCUAAUCACCAUUAUGGGACAUGACAGGAGACACGAGUUCUGAACUUCAAGGCAUUUCUGGUAUUUCAUCAUAUCAGUGUUGAUAAACUCAGUAGUACAUUCAUUUUUUUUUUAACACAAAAGAAAUGACUUGUCAAUAUAGACAGGGGUGGUUGGUUGGUCUAUGCCUACAGUAACAGCUACUUAAGAGGCUGAGAGAGGAGGAUCAUGGGAGCCUAAGUUCCAGACCAGUUUGGACAACAUGUCAAAAUCCCACAUCAAACAAACAUUUACUUGUGAAUAAGUGCAGUAGAAUAGUAUGCCAGUAAGUACAUACUAAUAUACUAUAUAUCAGUAUAGUAAUGUUAGUAAAUUAAUAAAUAGAAAUAAAAAUAUAUCUUAGGAAAAAAUCCCAACAUAAAGAUUCAGGGAAAUUACAAAUCAUAACACUAUAUCCUUUAAAUCUCCGAAGAAAACAUUAGAAUAAUUACUAGCAGUAGUGCCAAAUAAUAAUUAACAUCACUAUCGUUACUAAUAUUACUAGCUAUUGAUAGUUAUUACUAUUAACAUACUACUUGAGUAGGUAGCUAAUUUUUUUUUUGACUGUGAAUGUAUGUUCCUGUUAUAAUUCUUUUAUCAGAUUGUGGGGCCUACUAGUAGAAAACAUACUAUUUAUAACCAUUGCUUAUUUGGUUGAAAACAAAACACCAAGGAAUAAAACCAAAACACAGGGCCAGUUAGCUGGGAUGUUUGAGAUACUGCAAAUAUUUUUUACUGCAUUUAAUCUACUUAAGUGUAAUGAACAUAGAGGUUGCUCUGACUGAAUGGAUUUUUAUUAUUGCCGGCAAGCUGUUACACUUGUGUUGGAAGCACACCUGGCGACAUGGUACACAUGAAAGAAAAUGUUCAGAAAGAAACAGGAUGUAAGCCUGUGGAUAAUCUAGUCUACAUUUGGGUAUGAAACUCUUUGAAGUCCAGAAUUACACCUGCAGACAAAUUCAGAGUUAUGAAAACCAAGGCUAAAGUUUUCUACACAUCACAACACUGGCAAAUUACAGAACAAACUUCAUACAUAAAUUAUAAGUGGGAGGCACACCACUUUGACAGAAGUAACAAUAGGAUUGGUGCUGUGACCAGAAAUGGCUUCUCUUCACAAUGCUGUGUCAUGGGAGAUGCAUACCUCAUAUGACACAUAGGACAUUAUUUUGAGAUUACUAUU
rnacentral:lncRNA from 1 species